GUGAGGAAUAUUGCGCAAUGGAGGCAACUCUGACGCAGCCAUGCCGCGUGCAGGAAGAAGGCGCUACGCGUUGUAAACUGCUUUUAACCGGGAAGAAACCCCAGGACGUGUCCUGGGUUGACGGUACCGGAGGAAUAAGCACCGGCUAACUUCGUGCCAGCAGCCGCGGUAAUACGAAGGGUGCAAGCGUUAUCCGGAUUCAUUGGGUUUAAAGGGUGCGUAGGCGGGGUGGUAAGUCAGUGGUGAAAUCCUGCGGCUCAACCGUAGAAUUGCCAUUGAUACUGCCAUUCUUGAGUAGGCUCGACGUGGGCGGAAUGUGCCGUGUAGCGGUGAAAUGCUUAGAUAUGGCACAGAACACCGAUAGUGAAGACAGCUCACGAGGGCCAAACUGACGCUGAGGCACGAAAGCGUGGGGAUCGAACAGGAUUAGAAACCCUUGUAGUCC
rnacentral:rRNA from 1 species